AUCCCUUCGUGGCAAUUUCAUAGUCGAGGAAGUUAUACUGAGACGUGAUUAUUGCUUGAAAACUUAACCCAAUACCCUUGAGAUGAUGACUUGAAAUAUAGUCAGCUAUGGCAAUUUUGCCAGUCUCCUACGAGA